AUUGAACGCUGGCGGCAUGCCUUACACAUGCAAGUCGAACGGUAACAGGUCUUCGGAUGCUGACGAGUGGCGAACGGGUGAGUAAUACAUCGGAACGUGCCUAGUAGUGGGGGAUAACUACUCGAAAGAGUGGCUAAUACCGCAUGAGAUCUACGGAUGAAAGCAGGGGAUCGCAAGACCUUGUGCUACUAGAGCGGCCGAUGGCAGAGUAGGUAGUUGGUGGGAUAAAAGCUUACCAAGCCGACGAUCUGUAGCUGGUCUGAGAGGACGAUCAGCCACACUGGGACUGAGACACGGGCCAGACUCCUACAGGAGGCAGCAGUGGGGAAUUUUGGACAAUGGGCGCAAGCCUGAUCCAGCAAUGCCGCGUGCAGGAUGAAGGCCUUCGGGUUGUAAACUGCUUUUGUACGGAACGAAAAGCCCUGGGUUAAUACCCUGGGGUCAUGACGGUACCGUAAGAAUAAGCACCGGCUAACUACGUGCCAGCCGCCGCAGUAA
rnacentral:rRNA from 1 species